GCCAGGGUGGCUCAAUCGGUAAAGCAUCUGACUCUUGAUUUUGCCUCAGAACAUGAUCUCACGGGUCAUGGGAUCAAGCCCCAUGUCGGGCU
rnacentral:tRNA from 1 species